CAAUAGCGUAUAUUAAAGUUGUUGCAGUUAAAAAGCUCGUAGUUGGAUUUCUGAUUGAGACAUCAGGUCGGGUCCGAGAGGAUCAUGUACUUUGAUUUGUUUUGAUCAUCCUUGGGGAGAGCAGUUCUGGCAUUAAGUUGUCGGGGUUGGGAUCCUCAUCGUUUACUGUGAAAAAAUUAGAGUGUUCAAAGCAGGCCUCGGCCUCUGAAUACAUUAGCAUGGAAUAAUAAGAUAGGACUUUGGUGGUCUAUUUUGUUGGUUUGCACGCCAAAGUAAUGAUUAAUAGGGAUAGUUGGGGGUAUUCGUAUUCAAUUGUCAGAGGUGAAAUUCUUGGAUUUAUGGAAGACGAACUACUGCGAAAGCAUUUGCCAAGGAUGUUUUCAUUGA
rnacentral:rRNA from 1 species